rnacentral:tRNA from 1 species
AGUUGUAUAGCUCAGUGGUAGAGUGCUUGCCUAGCAUGUGUGAGCCCCUGGGAUCGAACCCCAGUGUUACAG